AUCGUACAUUGUAUAUUGUAUAUCGUAUAUUGUACAUUGUAUAUCGUAUAUUGUAUAUUGUACAUCGUACAUUGUAUAUUGUAUAUCGUACAUUGUAUAUUGUAUAUUGUACAUUGUAUAUUGUAUAUCAUACAUUGUAUAUCGUAUAUUGUACAUCGUAUAUUGUAUAUCGUAUAUUGUACAUCGUAUAUUGUAUAUCGUAUAUUGUAUAUUGUACAUCGUACAUUGUAUAUUGUAUAUCGUAUAUUGUAUAUUGUACAUUGUAUAUUGUACAUCGUACAUUGUAUAUUGUAUAUCGUAUAUCGUAUAUUGUAUAUCGUAUAUCAUGUAUCAUACAUUGUAUAUUGUAUAUUGUAUAUUGUAUAUUGUACAUUGUAUAUUGUAUAUCAUACAUUGUAUAUUGUGUAUUGUAUUUUGUAUAUUGUAUAUCAUAUAUUGAAUAUUGUAUAUUGUAUAUCGUAUAUCGUAUAUUGUACAUCGUACAUUGUAUAUCGUAUAUUGUAUAUUGUACAUCGUACGUUGUAUAUUGUAUAUCAUAUAUUGUAUAUUUUAUAUCGUAUAUUGUAUAUCGUAUAUUGUAUAUUGUACAUUGUAUAUUGUACGUUGUAUAUUGUAUAUUGUACAUCGUACAUCGUACAUUGUAUAUCGUACAUUGUAUAUUGUAUAUGGUAUAUUGUAUAUCGUAUAUUGUAUAUCAUAUAUGGUAUAUCGUAUAUUGUAUAUGGUAUAUUGUAUAUUGUAUAUCACAUAUAAUACACAGCAUCCAUUAUAUACUGUAUAUUAUACAUUAUAUCAAAUAUAACAAAUCAUUUCUGCCACAUCCAAACCCGGAUUUUCCCCUCAAUUUGGGGUUUCUGGUUCAUUUUUGGGCUCUCGUUGGAGUUUUGUGUUUGAACCUCGGUGUGGGGCUGCUCCAGGAUGGUUUUGGGUUUGUUUUGUUCCUCGUUUCCCUUUUUGUUGUGUCCGGUUCUGUCCAGUUCUGUGCCCAGUUCUGUGUCCAGUUCUGUCCAGUUCAGUGUCCAGUUCUGUCCAGUUCAGUGCCCAGUUCUGUCCAGUUCUGUCCAGUUCUGUCCAGUUCAGUGCCCAGUUCUGUCCAGUUCUGUCCAGUUCUGUCCAGUUCAGUGUCCAGUUCAGUGUCCAGUUCAGUGUCCAGUUCUGUCCAGUUCAGUGUCCAGUUCUGUCCAGUUCAGUGUCCAGUUCAGUGCCCAGUUCUGUCCAGUUCAGUGCCCAGUUCUGUCCAGUUCAGUGUCCAGUUCAGUCCAGUUCAGUGUCCAGUUCAGUCCAGUUCAGUGUCCAGUUCAGUCCAGUUCAGUCCAGUUCAGUCCAGUUCAAUGCCCAGUGCAGUGUCCAGUUCUGUCCAGUUCAGUGUCCAGUUCUGUCCAGUUCAGUCCAGUUCUGUCCAGUUGAGUGUCCAGUUCUGGGUUCCUCUGGACAGGAAAGACCUGGAGCUGCAGGAUCUCCUGGAUCUCCUGGAUCUCCUGCAGGGCAGCAGGGCUGGUGGCAGCGCUGGAUCAUUCGUGUCACACAGAGGUGACAAAUUCCCGAGAGAACGGAACUCUCCCGGUACCCCGAGGGCGCUGCCGGGGCCGGAGNGGCCGGGCUGAGCUCCCUGCAGAGCCGCAGGAUCCCCACUCCGGAUUUGGGAUCAGCUGGGAUCCAGUGGAUCUCUGCCAUUCCCUCAGCUCAAGGGUCGCUGCCACGGGGAAUUGAUCCGGCACAAUCAGAAAUAUUCAUUGCAAUGGGGCUCCCGCCUAAUCCACAACAGCUUUUCCAGGAAAUCAUUCCGUGGCUGCACCACUCCCUGUCCUCCUAUUCAGGGCAGCUUCAAAAAAGGGAACUGGGGCUGGAUCCUGUCCAGGACAGCUACCAAAAAGGGAUCUGGAGAUGGAUCCUGUCCAGGACAGCUCCCAAAAAGGGAUCUGGAGGUGAAUUCUGUCCAGGAGAGCUCCCAUAAAGGGAUCUGGGGGUGGAUCCUGUCCAGGAGAGCUCCCAAAAAGGGAUUGGGGGUGGAUCCUGUCCAGGAGAGCUCCCAAAAAGGGAUUGGGGGUGAAUCCUGUCCAGGAGAGCUCCCAAAAAGGGAUCUGGAGAUGGAUCCUGUCCAGGACAGCUCCCAAAAAGGGAUCUGGGGGUGGAUCCCAGCGAGUUCUCCCGUGGGUGACCUUGCCUGGAAAUUCCCCUUUGGGCAGCAGCUGCUCCUCCUGCGUUCCACAGCUCCUCCCAAAGCCCCGCUGCGGUUGGAGAACUUGAUAUCAAGUUUAUAGAAAGUUUAUAGACACUUUAUAUCGUUUAUAUCAAAUUUCUAUCAAGUUUAUUUCAAGUUUAUAUCAAGUUUAUAUAGUUUAUAUCAAGUUCAUAUCAAGUUUAUAGAAAGUUUAUAUCAAGUUUAUAGAAAGUUUAUAUAACAUUUAUCUCAAGUUUAUAUCAAGUUUAUAUCAAGUUUAUAUCCAGUUUAUAUCCAGUUUAUAUCAGGUUCCCUUCCUUGUUCUCCAGGUUUCCGAGCCGCCUUCCUCAGCUUUUCCAUCUUUAUUUCCCAUUUCUGCUCUUUGCGCUCGGAGCUCAGGAAAGGCCCAGAGAAAAAUCUGGAAACUUUAUUCCAAUUUAAAC
ensembl:lncRNA